rnacentral:lncRNA from 1 species
UUAAAAGCAAAUGCCAAAUGGAAUGAGAGGAGAAGAGAUGGAAAAAUAAAGAAAAAGUUAGUUUCGCUUUUAUCAUAUUCAUUUUAUUUCACGUUUAUAUUGGCACAUGGACGGAAAAAUUACAUGCAUCCUCACACAAUGUGGUUUCCAUAUGGAGGAGUCUGCCUCACCGGCGACCGUCGAUUCUCAUAUCUAGCCCCCGCU